rnacentral:rRNA from 1 species
GACGAACGCUGGCGGCGUGCUUAAUACAUGCAAGUCGAGCGAGGCCUUGGAAUUGGAGUCCUUCGGGAUGAAGAGUCCUUGGCCUAGCGGCGGACGGGUGAGUAACGCGUGGGCAACCUACCCCAAAGUCCGGGAUAACAGUGGGAAACCGCUGCUAAUACCGGAUGACUUUACCUGAGGGCAUCCUCGGGUAAAGAAAGGUUACGCUUUGGGAUGGGCCCGCGUCCCAUUAGCUAGUUGGUGAGGUAACGGCUCGCCAAGGCGACGAUGGGUAGCCGGCCUGAGAGGGUGAACGGCCACACUGGGACUGAGACACGGCCCAGACUCCUACGGGAGGCAGCAGUGGGGAAUAUUGCACAAUGGGCGCAAGCCUGAUGCAGCGACGCCGCGUGGGGGAUGACGGCCUUCGGGUUGUAAACUCCUUUCGCCAGGGACGAAGCGCAAGUGACGGUACCUGGAGAAGAAGCACCGGCCAACUACGUG